rnacentral:rRNA from 1 species
GAUGAACGCUAGCGGGAGGCCUAACACAUGCAAGCCGAGCGGUAUUUGUUCUUCGGACCAGAGAGAGCGGCGCACGGGUGCGGAACACGUGUGCAACCUGCCUUUAUCUGGGGGAUAGCCUUUCGAAAGGAAGAUUAAUACCCCAUAAUAUAUUGAGUAGCAUCACUUGAUAUUGAAAACUCCGGUGGAUAGAGAUGGGCACGCGCAAGAUUAGAUAGUUGGUGAGGUAACGGCUCACCAAGUCAAUGAUCUUUAGGGGGCCUGAGAGGGUGAUCCCCCACACUGGUACUGAGACACGGACCAGACUCCUACGGGAGGCAGCAGUGAGGAAUAUUGGACAAUGGGUUAGCGCCUGAUCCAGCCAUCCCGCGUGAAGGACGACGGCCCUAUGGGUUGUAAACUUCUUUUGUAUAGGGAUAAACCUACUCUCGUGAGAGUAGCUGAAGGUACUAUACGAAUAAGCACCGGCUAACUCCGUG